rnacentral:lncRNA from 1 species
GUUAUACUGUUAGGGCGCAGCUUAGUAGUCUAAUGUUGUUCCGGUUUUGGUUCUUGUGAAGGUUGACAUCGAUUCGUUCUAAAUUUACACUCGCGGGGCAUAAUAGAACAAUAUAAUUAGCUUUUACACUUUGUUCGGUCGAAUGGGAAAAAGUACUCGUUGCAAAGUUAUACUGUUAGGGCGGAACUGAGUAGACUAUUGUUGUUCCGGUUUUGGUUCUUGUGAAGGUUGACAUCGAUUCGUUCCAAAUUUACACUCUUGGGGCAUAAUAGAACAAUAUAAUUAGUUUUUACACUUUGUUCGAUUGAUUAAGAAAAAGUACUAGUUGCAAAGUUAUACUGUUGGGGCGCAACAGAGUAGUCUAUUGUUGUUCCGGUUUUGAUUCUUGCUAAGGUUGACAUCGAUUCGUUCCAAAUUUACACUCUCGGGGCAUAAUAGAACAAUAUAAUUUGGUUUUACUCUUUGUUCGAUAGAAUAAGAAAAAGUAGUCAUUGCAAUGUUAUACUGUUAGGGCGCCACUGAAUAGUCUAAUAUUGUUCCGGUUUUGGUUCUUGUGAACGUUGACAUCGAUUCGUUCGAAAUUACAACUCUCGGGGCAUAAUUGAACAAUAUAAUUAGGUUUUACUCUUUGUUCGAUAGAAUGAGAAAAAGUACUCGUCGCAAAGUUAUACUGCUAGGGCGCAACUGAGUAGUCUAAUGUUGUUCCGAUUUUGGUUCUUGUGAACGUUGACAUCGAUUCGUUCCAAAUUUACACUCUCGGGGCACAAUUGAACAAUAUAAUUAGGUUUUACUCUUUGUUCGAUAAAAAGAGAAAAAGUACUCGUUGCAAAGUUAUACUGUUAGGGCGCAACAGAGUAGUCUAAUGUUGUUCCGGUUUUCGUUCUUGUGAACGGUGACAUCGAUUCGUUCCAAAUUUACACUCUCGGGNCUGGGAACUUGUUGUACACAAUCUCGUCGUUGUGCCUUGGGCGGACAGGGGAGGUACUGUCCGUACGGCGGUCCGCCGCCGUGCCCGAACCGAACCAAAUUGGUAUCGGCCUCGGGGCGGGGGCGUGACAGAAAAAUUACUAGUUGCAAAGUUAUACUGUUGGGGCGCAACAGAGUAGUCUAUUGUUGUUCCGGUUUUGGUUAUUGUUAAGGUUGACAUCGAUUCGUUUCAAAUUUACACUCUCGAGGCAUAAUAGAACAAUAUAAUUAGGUUUUACUCUUUGUUCGAUAGAAUGAGAAAAAGUACUCAUUGCAAAGUUAUACUGUUAGGGCGCAACCGAAUAGUCUAAUGUUGUUCCGGUUUUGGUUCUUGUGAACGCUGACAUCAAUUGGUUCGAAAUUACAACUCUCGGGGCAUAAUUGAACAAUAUAAAUUAGGUUUUACUCUUUGUUCGAUAGAAUGAGAAAAAGAACUCGUCGCAAAGUUAUACUGCUAGGGGGCAACUGAGUAGUCUAAUAUUGUUCCGGUUUUGGUUCUUGUGAACGUUGACAUCGAUUCGUUCCAAAUUUACACUCUCGGGGCAUAAUAGAACAAUACAAUUAAGUUUUACUCUUUGUUCGAUCGAAUGAGAAAAAGUACUCGUUGCAAAUUUAUAAUAUUAGGGCGCAGCUGAGUAGUCUAAUGUUGUUCCGGUUUUGGUUCUUGUGAAGGUUGACAUCGAUUCGUUCCAAAUUUACACUCUUGGGGCAUAAUAGAACAAUAUAAUUAGCUUUUACACUUUGUUCGAUCGAAUGGGAAAAAAGUACUCGUUACAAAGUUAUACUGUUAGGGCGCAACUGAGUAGUCUAUUGUUAUUCCAGUUUUGGUUCUUGUGAAGGUUGACAUCGAUUCGUUCCAAAUUUACACUCUCGGGGCAUAAUAGAACAAUAAAAUUAGCUUUUACACUUUGUUCGAUUGAAUAAGAAAAAGUACUAGUUGCAAAGUUAUAUUGUUGGGGUGCAACAGAGUAGUCUAUUGUUUUUCCGAUUUUGGUUCUGGUGAAGGUUGAUAUCGAUUCGUUCCAAAUUUACACUCUCGGGGCAUAAUGAAUAAAAUAAAUAGCUUUUACACUUUGUUCGAUUGAAUGAGAAAAAGUACUAGUUGCAAAGUUAUACUGUUGGGGCGCAACAGAGUAGUUUACUGUUGUUCCGAUUUUGGUUCUUGUUAAGGUUGACAUCGAUUCAUUCCAAAUUUACACUCUCGGGGCAUAAUAGAACAAUACAAUUAAGUUUUACUCUUUGUUCGAUCGAAUGAGAAAAAGUACUCGUUGCAAAAUUAUGCUGUUAGGGCGCAACUGAGUAGUCUAGUGUUGUUCCGAUUUUGGUUCUUGUGAAGAUUGACAUCGAUUCGUUCCAAAUUUACACUCUCGGGGCAUAAUAGAACAAUAUAAUUAGCUUUUACACUUUGUUCGAUUGAAUGAGAAAAAGUACUAGUUGCAAAGUUAUACUGUUGGGGCGCAACAGAGUAGUCUAUUGUUGUUCCGGUUUUGGUUCUUGUUAAGGUUGACAUCGAUUCGUUCCAAAUUUACACUCUCGGGGCAUAAUAGAACAAUAUAAUUAGGUUUUACUCUUUGUUCGAUCGAAUGAGAAAAAGUACUCGUUGCAAAGUUAUACUGUUAGGGCGCAACUGAGUAGUCUAAUGUUGUUCCGGUUUUGGUUCUUGUGAACGUUGACAUCGAUUCGUUCGAAUUUACACUCUCGCGGCAUAAUAGAACAAUAUAAUUAGGUUUUACACUUUGUUCGAUAGAAUGAGAAAAAGUACUCGUUGCAAAGUUAUACUGUUAGGGCGCAACUGAGUAGUCUAAUGUUGUUCCGGUUUUGGUUCUUGUGAACGUUGACAUCGAUUCGUUCCAAAUUUACACUCUCGGGGCAUAAUAGAACAAUAUAAUUAGGUUUUACGCUUUGUUCGAUUGAAUGAGAAAAAGUACUCGUUGCAAAGUUAUACUGUUAGGGCGCAACUGAGUAGUCUAAUGUUGUUCCGGUUUUGGUUCUUGUGAACGUUGACAUCGAUUCGUUCCAAAUUUACACUCUCGGGGCAUAAUAGAACAAUAUAAUUAGNNN